GGGAUAGAAUUCCAGGAGUAGCGGUGAAAUGCGUAGAUAUCUGGAGGAAUACCAAAGGCGAAGGCAGUCCCCUGGUCCGAUACUGACACUGAGGUACGAAAGCGUGGGGAGCAAACAGGAUUAGAUACCCUGGUAGUCCACGCCCUAAACGAUGUCGAUUAGCCAUUGGAAGGACCCCUUUUCCUUUCAGUGACGUAGCUAACGCGUUAAAUCGACCGCCUGGGAAGUACGACCGCAAGGUUAAAACUCAAAGGAAUUGACGGGGACCUGAACAAGCGGUGAAUGAUGUGGAUUAAUUCGAUGCUACGCGUAGAACCUUACCUACCUUUGACAUGGCCAAAGUUCUACCGAGAGGCGGAAGUACUCGUAAGAGGAUUGGCGCACAGGUGCUGCAUGGUUGUCGUCAGUUCGUGUCGUGAGAUGUUGGGUUCAGUCCCGCAACGAACGCAACCCUUAUCUUUAAUUGCUCCUAUUUUAACAGGCACUUUAAAGAAACUGCCAAUGAUAAGUUGGAGGAAGGUGGGGAUCACGUCAAGUCCGCAUGGCCUUUAUAGGUAGGGCUUCACACGUCAUACAAUGGUUAGAACAAAGAGCUGCAAAUUCGUAAGAAGGAGCCAAUCUCACAAACCUAACCUCAGUUCGAAUUGCGGUCUGCAACUCGAGCGCAUGAAGCCGGAAUCGCUAGUAAUCGUGGAUCAGAAUGCCACGGUGAAUACGUUCUUAGGUCUU
rnacentral:rRNA from 1 species